rnacentral:rRNA from 1 species
UACGAGGGGGGCAAGCGUUGUUCGGAAUUACUGGGCGUAAAGGGCUCGUAGGCGGCCAACUAAGUCGGAUGUGAAAUCCCCAGGCUCAACCUGGGAACUGCAUCCGAUACUGGAUGGCUUGAAUUCGGGAGAGGGAUGCAGAAUUCCAGGUGUAGCGGUGAAAUGCGUAGAUAUCUGGAGGAAUACCGGUGGCGAAGGCGGCAUCCUGGACCGACAUUGACGCUGAGGAGCGAAAGCCAGGGGAGCAAACGGG